UACGGAGGGUGCAAGCAUUAAUCGGAUUUAUUGGGCGUAAAGGGCGUGUAGGCGGGGAUGAAAGUCAGAUGUGAAAUCCCGAGGCUCAACCUCGGAACGGCAUUUGAAACUCCAUUUCUUGAGGAUAGGCGGGGAAAACGGAAUUCCACAUGUAGCGGUGAAAUGCGUAGAUAUGUGGAGGAACACCAGUGGCGAAGGCGACUCUUUGGUCUGUAACUGACGCUGAGGCGCGAAAGCGUGGGGAGCAAACAGG
rnacentral:rRNA from 1 species